rnacentral:rRNA from 1 species
CAGCACUCAGCAUCACCAUGCACACCCACGCGCAACCAUAAGGGGAAGGUAUGCCAACUGGCAACAGCAGCAGGUUGAAUGUCAAUGCAUUGCAGCAGGUAAUCAAUCAAUGACCAAGGUAGCAUGCACGCCAUGUUGACAAUGCAACCUGGUUGCAGCAAGGCAGCAAGACACGAAGUAUACACAGCACGCGCCAAGGAUGCUCAAAGCACCAGCCAGCACGUGUCUGUACACGUCAAUCUUGCUAACAUGCUAAGAACCAUUUGCUUUAAUUGCAGCAAUGUCAAGUACUUUUAACUUUCUUUUCAAAGUCCUUUUCACAUUUCCCUCAUGGUACUUGUUUGCUAUCGGUCUCGA